GAAAGGACUCGCCUAGGGAGCCAGCGCGGUCCCAAAGGAGCCGCCGGCCCUGCCUCCCGGGAUCCGACCCCCGGUGCAGCCAGCCUGAAGUCGCCCGAGGGCAGGGCCGACCUCACCGAGCCGGGAAUGGCGUCUCAGGGGCAACCUCUCUUAGCAGCUGGGAAGAGAGAGUGGAGAGAAAGAGGGAUCAGGACAGAUGUGGACACGGCAGAAGAAGAGGAGCCUGCUGUGACGGACUUCCUUGAAAUGACAAACAAGUAAAUAUUUAAGGGAAUAAGUAAAACCAAAAGAAGGACUCAUGGGUUGGAAGAAUGGAAGGAGAAGGAAAAGGCAGAUGGGAUAGGGAUAGACAUUGAAGAUUGCAAACAGGCUAGUAGCAAAGAAAGCAAAAACAAACAGGGUUUUUAGAAGCCAGAUAAACCUUGGAUUCCUGGUGUUGUCACUUCUGAGCUAUCUCUGUUACCUUAGGCAAAAAAACUUUGAAAGGCCUUACAAAAGCCCAUCAAGCUCUACAGUAAUGCUGUCCAAGGCAGUCACAACAGGCCACAUGUGGCUAUAGAGCACAUGAG
rnacentral:lncRNA from 10 species